AGUAAUUUCGGUGUGGUACGUUGUAUCAGAAGUCACAAGUCACAGAAGAACAAAAGUUAGUACUUACACAAUGCCAGGAAAGAUUUUAAACACAAUAUACAAGUCAGUGACUCAUCAUAAAGACGUAAUGUGCAUAGUGGGCGGAACGAUCGGAGUAGCUAUUUUUGCCACGUCAUUUAUGAUUUUCACUUCAAACCGAGACCCAGACGUCAGUUUUGCAAAUAAGCAACAUGCGGUAUCAUCUAACCUGCUAAAGAAUUCAGCAACACUUCCACUGAUAGUACAAAACAAAGAGGUGUAUGGACCUAAGCCAGAUGUACCUGACGAGAUGGGAUCAUAAUACAAACAGGUCACGCCAAUUCUCUUCCAUUUUCAGAAAAGAUCACACGAUCUACUUCCAUCUAAUUGAUUUAAAGGACUACACAGAUAGUUGUAUAUCUGAUGCAGAUUUACUCGGAAUUUUUUAGAUAUUCUACUUCGUUUUGUUAAAAUAUUAUGUAUUAUUUUACCAUGUAAUUUUAUUAAACGCAUUUAUAAUA